UACUCAGCAGUGAGGGCAUGGGUGCUAAGGUCCAUGUCCGAGAGGGAAAGAACCCAGACCACCAGCUAAGGUCCCUAAAUAUAUACUAAGUUGUUCUAACGUGGUCCGAUUGCUUUGACAGCUAGGAUGUUGGCUUGGAAGCAGCCAUUCAUUUAAAGAGUGCGUAACAGCUCACUAGUCGAGCGAUUGGGCGUGGAUAAUAAUCGGGCAUAAAGUAUAUUACCGAAGCUGUGGGAUUUUAAAUCGGUAGGGGAGCAUUCUAGUUGCACUGAAGGUGUAUCGUAAGGUAUGCUGGAGCGGCUAGAAAAGAAAAUGUAGGAAUAAGUAACGAUAAAGCAGGCGAGAAACCUGCUCACCAAUAGACUAAGGUUUCCUGAUCAACGCUAAUCGGAUCAGGGUUAGUCGGGACCUAAGGCGAACCCGAAAGGGGUAGUCGAUGGACAACUGGUUAAUAUUCCAGUACUAGCAUAUAUUGCGAUGGGAUGACGGAGUAGUGAAAGGUCUGCGUACUGACGGAAUAGUACGUUAAAGAGUGUAGGUAUAAGAAUUGUAGGAAAAUCCGCAAAUCUUGCUGAACUUGAUAGUACCACGAGCCUUCGGGCAAGUGGAUAAUGACCCUAAUCAGACUUCCAAGAAAAACCUCUAAGCUUCAGAUAUGUGCUACCCGUACCUCAAACCGACACAGGUAGUCAAGAAGAGAAUUCUAAGGUGCUCGAGUGAUUCAUGGUUAAGGAACUAGGCAAAAUCGCCUCGUAACUUCGGGAGAAGAGGCGCUCUGUUUUCAGAGCCGCAGUGAAUAGGCCCAGGCGACUGUUUAUCAAAAACACAUGGCUUUGCGAACUUGAAAGAGGAAGUAUAAGGCCUGACACCUGCCCGGUGCCGGAAGGUUAAAAGGAGAUGUUAUCUUCGGAGAAGCAUUGAAUUGAAGCCCCGGUAAACGGCGGCCGUAACGAUAACGGUCCUAAGGUAGCGAAAUUCCUUGUCGGGUAAGUUCCGACCCGCACGAAGGGUGUAACGAUCUACAUACUGUCUCAAUGAGAGGCUCGGUGAAAUAGGCAUGUCCGUGAAGAUACGGGUUAUUUUUACCUGGACAAGAAGACCCUAUGAAGCUUUACUUUAACCCAGGGCUGUAGCCUUUUUUUAAUUGUGCAGAAUAAGUGGAAG
rnacentral:rRNA from 1 species